rnacentral:sRNA from 1 species
UCUACGUCAUUCGCGGACACCCUACCUCC